rnacentral:rRNA from 2 species
AGUUACACUCCCAAACCCCUGUGAACAUACCACUUGUUGCCUCGGCGGAUCAGCCCGCUCCCGGUAAAACGGGACGGCCCGCCAGAGGACCCCUAAACUCUGUUUCUAUAUGUAACUUCUGAGUAAAACCAUAAAUAAAUCAAAACUUUCAACAACGGAUCUCUUGGUUCUGGCAUCGAUGAAGAACGCAGCAAAAUGCGAUAAGUAAUGUGAAUUGCAGAAUUCAGUGAAUCAUCGAAUCUUUGAACGCACAUUGCGCCCGCCAGUAUUCUGGCGGGCAUGCCUGUUCGAGCGUCAUUUCAACCCUCAAGCACAGCUUGGUGUUGGGACUCGCGUUAAUUCGCGUUCCCCAAAUUGAUUGGCGGUCACGUCGAGCUUCCAUAGCGUAGUAGUAAAACCCUCGUUACUGGUAAUCGUCGCGGCCACGCCGUUAAACCCCAACUUCUGAAUGUUGACCUCGGAUCAGGUAGGAAUACCCGCUGAACUUAAGCAUAUCAAUAAGCGGAGGAA